rnacentral:rRNA from 1 species
UGGGGAAUAUUGCACAAUGGGCGCAAGCCUGAUGCAGCAACGCCGCGUGAACGAUGAAGGUCUUCGGAUCGUAAAGUUCUGUUGCAGGGGAAGAUAAUGACGGUACCCUGUGAGGAAGCCCCGGCUAACUACGUGCCAGCAGCCGCGGUAAUACGUAGGGGGCUAGCGUUAUCCGGAUUUACUGGGCGUAAAGGGUGCGUAGGUGGUCUUUCAAGUCGGUGGUUAAAGGCUACGGCUCAACCGUAGUUAGCCUCCGAAACUGGAAGACUUGAGUGUAGGAGAGGAAAGUGUAAUUCCCAGUGUAGCGGUGCAAUGCGUAGAUAUUGGGAGGAACACCAGUAGCGAAGGCGGCUUUCUGGACUGCAACUGACACUGAGGCACUAUAGCGUGGGUAGCAAACAGG